GAAUAGCUCAGUUGGAAGAGCAUGAGACUCUUAAUCUCAGUCGUAGGUUCAAGUCCCAUGUUGGGCA